UACGGAGGGUGCGAGCGUUGUCCGGAAUCACUGGGCGUAAAGGGCGCGUAGGCGGCGCGGGCAGUCAACGGUGAAAGCUUGGGGCUCAACCCCGAGUCGGCCGUCGAUACUCCCGUGCUGGAGCACUGUAGAGGCAGGUGGAAUUCCGGGUGUAGCGGUGGAAUGCGUAGAUAUCGGGAGGAACACCUGUGGUGAAGACGGCUCUCUGGGCCGGUACUGACGCUGAGGAGCGAAAGCGUGGGUAGCAAACAGG
rnacentral:rRNA from 1 species